rnacentral:rRNA from 1 species
GAUGAACGCUGGCGGCGUGCCUAAUACAUGCAAGUCGAGCGAACAGACGAGGAGCUUGCUCCUCUGACGUUAGCGGCGGACGGGUGAGUAACACGUGGAUACCCUACCUAUAAGACUGGGAUAACUUAGGGAAAGCGGAGCUAGUACCGGAUAAUAUAUUGAACCGCAUGGUUCAAUAGAGAAAGACGGAUUUGAUGUCACUUAUAGAUGGAUCCGCGCCGCAUUAGCUAGUUGGUAAGGUAACGGCUUACCAAGGCAACGAUGCGUAGCCGACCUGGGAGGGUGAUCGGCCACACUGGAACUGAGAAAAGGUCCAGACUCCUACGGGAGGCAGCAGUAGGGAAUCUUCCGCAAUGGGCGAAAGCUUGACGGAGCAACGCCGCGUGAGUGAUGAAGGUCUUCCGAUCGUAAAACUCUGUUAAUAGGGAAGAACAAAUGUGUAAGUAACUAUGCACGUCUUGACGGUACCUAAUCAGAAAGCCACGGCUAACUACGUG